rnacentral:lncRNA from 1 species
CUGGUUUCCAAGUGGAGAUGUCACACCAUGAAAUCUCCCUCUGUGCCAUGCUGAUUUCUCCAUCUCAGUGGAGAAGCCAAGGAUCGAAUGCUCCAAGGUGCUAGACUGUUUUCCUUUCCAGCCUGCAGAGUUCCUUGUGUGGGUCAGACCAGAGCAUGUGAUGAAAGCACCGCAAUGUGUUGGCCAUGGGAAAGCCAUCCGGUGGUGAACCCUCAUCCCCACGAGCAC